ensembl:lncRNA
UGGCAUUGCUGUCAUUAGUGAAAUACAAACCAUCCAUAGCACUACAGAAGGUAUUUUACAUCAGGGAAAAGAGCCAUCGGAGCGUCAGAGCUACUACAAGCCACGCAUAGAAGAAAGACAGCUUUCUCCCCCAAAAGCUCUCGGGAGGCAGACAGCAGCUGGAAGCCACGGGGUGCGGAGCCGCUUCCUGCAGGAGGGGCUGGGGGGGCCCAACUCACAGCCGGAAAACCGAAUUUAGAGCAUUGGAGAGCACAAAGCUGCACUUCCUCCGGGCCCUCCGCUCCGGUGGGAUGUGAGAAAGGCGUUCUAUAAAUAAGUGCUUGGAUAAAUAAAUGAGACUGAGCUCCUCCCCAUGGAGCCGCUUCUUCCUGCCCGGAGACCCGGCAACACUUCCAGCACGGGGAGCUUGAGGCAUUGCAUAGAACACCCCAUAGCAUCAGACCGAACGCUGAGGAAGCGGUUGGCUGCUCGGAGAGCCUCUCCACAGCUGUUUCCUAAAACUUCGCGACGAAACCC